AAGAAAUUAGUUUAAAUUAAAAACAUUAAUUUGUCAAAUUAAAAAUAUUUUAAUAUUUCUUA
rnacentral:tRNA from 1 species